rnacentral:rRNA from 1 species
AGAGUUUGAUCCUGGCUCAGAACGAACGCUGGCGGCAGGCUUAACACAUGCAAGUUGAACGGGAUUUGUGUGGUGCUUGCACCAUAUAAUGAGAGUAGCGCACUGGUGAGUAACACGUGGGAACGUGCCUUUUAGUGGGGGAUAACAUCUGGAAACGGAUGCUAAUACCGCAUACGCCCUGAGGGGGAAAGAUUUAUUGCUAAGAGGUCGGCCCGCGGUAGAUUAGGCAGUUGGUGGGGUAAAGGCCUACCAAACCUACGAUCUAUAGCUGGUCUGAGAGGACGAUCAGCCACAUUGGAACUGAGACACGGUCCAGACUCCUACGGGAGGCAGCAGUGAGGAAUAUUGGGCAAUGGAGGCAACUCUGACCCAGCCAUGCCGCGUGAGUGAGAAGGUUUUCGAAUUGUAAAGCUCUUUCGGGUGUGAAGAUGAUGACGGUAACACCAGAAGAAGCCCCGGCAAACUUCGUGCCAGCAGCCGCGGUAAUACGAAGGGGGCGAGCGUUGUUCGGAAUUACUGGGCGUAAAGGGUGUGUAGGCGGUUAAGUAAGAUAGUGGUGAAAUGCCGGGGCUCAACCUCGGAAUUGCCAUUAUGACUAUUUAGCUAGAAUGAUGCAGAGGAUAGCGGAAUACCCAGUGUAGAGGUGAAAUUCGUAGAUAUUGGGUAGAACACCAGAGGCGAAGGCGGCUAUCUGGGCAUUGAUUGACGCUGAGGCACGAAAGCAUGGGGAUCAAACAGGAUUAGAUACCCUGGUAGUCCAUGCUGUAAACGAUGAAUGCUAGUUGUUGGAGGAAUUCAGUGACGCAGUUAACACAAUAAGCAUUCCGCCUGGGGAGUACGGUCGCAAGAUUAAAACUCAAAGGAAUUGACGGGGACCCGCACAAGCGGUGGAGCAUGUGGUUUAAUUCGAUGCAACGCGAAGAACCUUACCAACUCUUGACAUCCUCAUUAGGGAGGGGAGAGAUUCCCUCUUUCAGUUAGGCUGGGUGAGUGACAGAUGCUGCAUGGCUGUCGUCAGCUCGUGUCGUGAGAUGUUGGGUUAAGUCCCGCAACGAGCGCAACC